rnacentral:rRNA from 1 species
GGUAGCAUAAUAAUUUGCCUUUUAAUUGAAGGCUAGAAUGAAAGGGUUAACAAAACCUAGACUGUCUCUCUUAUAAAGAGAAUAAUUUCAACUUUAAGUGAAAAUGCUUAAAUUUGUUAGAGGGACGAGAAGACCCUGUAGAUCUUUCCUAUAAAUAGGAGCCCUAUCUUUAGGUUACCUGGGAGGGGGCUUAAAAUUAACUUUAGAUUAGUUUAAAGAAUUAUCUUCAAAAUUGUUGAUCCUUCAUUUUGGAUAAAUUG